rnacentral:rRNA from 1 species
UACGAAGGGUGCAAACGUUGCUCGGAAUUAUUGGGCGUAAAGCGCACGUAGGCGGCUAAGCAAGUCGGAUGUGAAAGCCCUCGGCUCAACCAAGGAAGUGCAUCCGAAACUGCAGAGCUUGAGUACUUAAGAGGAUCGCGGAAUUCCCGGUGUAGAGGUGAAAUUCGUAGAUAUCGGGAGGAACACCAGUGGCGAAGGCGGCGAUCCGGGAAGAUACUGACGCUGAGGUGCGAAAGCGUGGGGAGCAAACAGG